UACGAAGGGGGCUAGCGUUGCCCGGAAUCACUGGGCGUAAAGCGCACGUAGGCGGAUCUUUAAGUCAGGGGUGAAAUCCUGGAGCUCAACUCCAGAACUGCCUUUGAUACUGGGGAUCUCGAGUCCGGGAGAGGUGAGUGGAACUCCGAGUGUAGAGGUGAAAUUCGUAGAUAUUCGGAAGAACACCAGUGGCGAAGGCGGCUCACUGGCCCGGUACUGACGCUGAGGUGCGAAAGCGUGGGGAGCAACAGG
rnacentral:rRNA from 1 species